rfam:Triticum urartu cultivar G1812 contig974420, whole genome shotgun sequence.
UGUGUACUCCCUCCGUUCCAAAAUACUUGACUUCCAUUUGUCCAAAAAUGGAUGUACCUAUAUACUAAGACAUGUUUAGAUACAUAUAUAUUUUGACAAAUAGAAGGCAUGUAUUGUGCAACGGAGGGAGUAGAAU